rnacentral:rRNA from 1 species
AGUGAACGCUGGCGGUAGGCCUAACACAUGCAAGUCGAACGGCAGCACAGAGGAGCUUGCUCCUUGGGUGGCGAGUGGCGGACAGGUGAGGAAUACAUCGGAAUCUACUCUGUCGUGGGGGAUAACGUAGGGAAACUUACGCUAAUACCGCAUACGACCUACGGGUGAAAGCAGGGGACCUUCGGGCCGUGCGCGAUGGAAUGAGCCGAUGUCGGAUUAGCUAGUUGGCGGGGUAAAGGCCCACCAAGGCGACGGUCCGUAGCUGGUAUGAGAGGAUGAUCAGCCACACUGGAACUGAGACACGGUCCAGACUCCUACGGGAGGCAGCAGUGGGGAAUAUUGGACAAUGGGCGCAAGCCUGAUCCAGCCAUACCGCGUGGGUGAAGAAGGCCUUCGGGUUGUAAAGCCCUUUUGUUGGGAAAGAAAUCCAGCUGGCUAAUACCCGGUUGGGAUGACGGUACCCAAAGAAUAAGCACCGGCUAACUUCGUGCCAGCCGCCGCGGUAA